rnacentral:rRNA from 1 species
GAUGAACGCUGGCGGCGUGCCUAAUACAUGCAAGUCGAGCGAACAGACGAGGAGCUUGCUCCUCUGACGUUAGCGGCGGACGGGUGAGUAACACGUGGAUAAUCUACCUAUAAGACUGGGAUAACUUCGGGAAACCGGAGCUAAUACCGGAUAAUAUAUUGAACCGCAUGGUUCAAUAGUGAAAGACGGUUUUGCUGUCACUUAUAGAUGGAUCCGCGCCGCAUUAGCUAGUUGGUAAGGUAACGGCUUACCAAGGCAACGAUGCGUAGCCGACCUGAGAGGGUGAUCGGCCACACUGGAACUGAGACACGGUCCAGACUCCUACGGGAGGCAGCAGUAGGGAAUCUUCCGCAAUGGGCGAAAGCCUGACGGAGCAACGCCGCGUGAGUGAGGAAGGUCUUCGGAUCGUAAAACUCUGUUAUUAGGGAAGAACAAAUGUGUAAGUAACUAUGCACGUCUUGACGGUACCUAAUCAGAAAGCCACGGCUAACUACGUG